rnacentral:rRNA from 1 species
CGGCAACCUAAGUGUCGUGUGAAAGCCCCCGGCUCAACCGGGGGAGGCCAUGGCAAACUGGGUCGCUCGAGCUGCGGAGAGGCCCCUCGAAUUGCCGGUGUAGCGGUGAAAUGCGUAGAGAUCGGCAGGAAGACCAAGGGGGAAGCCAGGGGGCUGGCCGCAGGCUGACGCUGAGGCGCGACAGCGUGGGGAGCAAACCGGAUUAGAUACCCGGGUAGUCCACGCCGUAAACGAUGACCACUCGGCGUGCGGCGACAUUGACGUCGCGGCGCGCCCUAGCUCACGCGAUAAGUGGUCCGCCUGGGAACUACGAGCGCAAGCUUAAAACUCAAAGGAAUUGGCGGGGGCCCGCACAACCGGUGGAGCGUCUGGUUCAAUUCGAUGCUAACCGAAAAACCUUACCCGGGUUUGACAUG